rnacentral:miRNA from 11 species
UGUGUAUGUGUGUGUGUGUGUGUGUGUGUAUAUAUAUAUAUAUAUAUAUACACACACACACACACACUUACAUACACACACACAUAC